rnacentral:rRNA from 1 species
CGCCUAGCACAUGCAAUUCGAACGAGAAACCCCUCGCAAAGAGGGGCGGUAAAGUGGCGAACGGGUGAGUAACGCAUGGGUAAUCUACCGAAGAGUGGGGGAUAACCCUCCGAAAGGGGGGCUAACACCGCAUAAGACCACGUCUCGAUGGGGAUGCGGUCAAAAGUGGCCUCUGUUUACAAGCUAUUGCUCUUCGAUGAGCCCAUGUCCCAUCAGCUAGUUGGCGGGGUAACGGCCCACCAAGGCGAUGACGGGUAGCUGGUCUGAGAGGACGACCAGCCACACUGGCACUGAGACACGGGCCAGACUCCUACGGGAGGCAGCAGUGAGGAAUCUUGCACAAUGGGCGAAAGCCUGAUGCAGCGACCCCGCGUGAGGGAUUAANGGCUUCCGGUUUGUAAACCUCUUUCGGGAAGAAAGAACCUCCCGGUGCCUAUACCACCGGGGUUUGACGGACCUCCCAAAAGAGCCCCGGGUUACUCUUUGCCCA